GAUUGGCUGCCUUAGACUAUGGCGGCCGUUAUGGGAACGACGACCCGGACAGCUAUCUAGAAUGAUUGACCGGGAAAUAGUCAGCAUAAGGAGGCCAGAAGAACAGUCACUUACCCACACCACCAGGACUUACCCACACCACCAGGACGCAGCCACAAGGGCAGGACUUCGACAUCCUUUAUGCAUGCAUUUGUGCAGUAAAUUUGAGUUUAUUGCA